rnacentral:rRNA from 1 species
CACGCAGGCGGUUUGCUUAGUCCUUUGUGAAAGCCCGGGGCUCAACCCCGGAAUUGCAUGGGAUACUGGCAGACUGGAGACUGGUAGAGGCUAGCGGAAUUCCUGGUGUAGCGGUGGAAUGCGUAGAUAUCAGGAAGAACACCUGUGGCGAAGGCGGCUAGCUGGGCCAGUUCUGACGCUCAUGUGCGAAAGCGUGGGGAGCAAACA